UACAGACCAUCUCGCAAUCUACCAUUGCCAAUCAUUUUCCUUGUUCUCAAAUCUUAAAAUAUACAAUGAGUAAGAAAAAAUUAAAUUUCGCAAUUAAGGGCUUGGGUAAUGGAGCUGACAGAUAAAAGAUUAGUAGAAAAGCUAGGAAAAUGAAGAACUGAAUUGAGAUUGGGAGUGCAUUUAAUAGAACUUGUACCAGAAAUUGUGGUAAAGGA
rnacentral:misc_RNA from 1 species